GGAGGUAACUCCUUCUAAGCUAAAUACGACCAUGAGACCGAUAGUAAACAAGUACCGUGUGGGAAAGUUGAAAAGCACUCUGAAUAGAGAGUCAAAUAGUACGUGAAACUGCCGAGGGUGUAAAGCCUGUUGAACUCGAUUAUCCGUAGUUCCUGGCAUCGUGGGUUUUGGCUGUCACGCAGAAGGGGGCCUUCUGUAUGCCUUGACCCUAGCCAGGAACGAGUGCGGACAUCGUGAUCCAUUACGCAAACCAAAUGCGAGCGGCGACUCCGGUUGCUGCGAGCAUAUCCAACAUCAGGUCCCAGAACAUGCGGUCGACCCUCUAGUAGUGGCGCUCAGCUUAAGGCCGGCGUCGCGAACGGGGGAUCGAGGCUCCGGUCUCGAGUUCGGCUAGUUCCGGUGUGCCGUUGGAUGCGUGAUGGGCAUUGAAGUGAACUAGAGAAGUGUGAAGCGCAUGUUUGGGCAUGUUCAAGGGCGAAAGCCUGAGCCGAGCACGACUCCGGAUCUACGAUGUACUAACUAAUCGAGGUACCUACGGGACCCGUCUUGAAACACGGAAAAAAAAAUUACACAAA
rnacentral:rRNA from 1 species